rnacentral:rRNA from 1 species
GGCCUGGCUGGGCGGUCUGCCUUAUGGUGAGUACUGCUUUGGCUGGGUCUUUCCUUCUGGAGAGCCGGCAUUCCCUUUACUGGGUGUGUCGGGGAUCCAGGACUUUUACUUUGAAAAAAUUAGAGUGUUCAAAGCAGGCACAACCUGGCAUCAUGAAUACAUUAGCAUGGGAUAAUAGAA